rnacentral:rRNA from 1 species
AGUGAACGCUGGCGGUAGGCCUAACACAUGCAAGUCGAACGGCAGCACAGUAAGAGCUUGCUCUUACGGGUGGCGAGUGGCGGACGGGUGAGGAAUACAUCGGAAUCUACUUUUUCGUGGGGGAUAACGUAGGGAAACUUACGCUAAUACCGCAUACGACCUACGGGUGAAAGCAGGGGAUCUUCGGACCUUGCGCGAUUGAAUGAGCCGAUGUCUGAUUAGCUAGUUGGCGGGGUAAAGGCCCACCAAGGCGACGAUCCGUAGCUGGUCUGAGAGGAUGAUCAGCCACACUGGAACUGAGACACGGUCCAGACUCCUACGGGAGGCAGCAGUGGGGAAUAUUGGACAAUGGGCGCAAGCCUGAUCCAGCCAUACCGCGUGGGUGAAGAAGGCCUUCGGGUUGUAAAGCCCUUUUGUUGGGAAAGAAAAGCAGCAGGUUAAUACCCCGCUGUUCUGACGGUACCCAAAGAAUAAGCACCGGCCAACUUCGUG